CCUACCUACUACUUUGGGAUAGCUCGUUGAAAGACGAAUUAAUACCUUAUAAAACAGGGGCUCCGCAUGGAGAUAUUUGUUAAAGAUUUAUUGGUAGUAGAUGGGCAUGCGUUCCAUUAGUUAGUUGGUGAGGUAACGGCUCACCAAGACAACGAUGGAUAGGGGAACUGAGAGGUUUGUCCCCCACACUGGAACUGAGACACGGUCCAGACUCCUACGGGAGGCAGCAGUGAGGAAUAUUGGUCAAUGGAGGCAACUCUGAACCAGCCAAGUCGCGUGAAGGAUGACGGCCCUACGGGUUGUAAACUUCUUUUUUAAGGGAAUAAAGUGAGCCACGUGUGGCUUUUUGCAUGUACCUUACGAAUAAGGAUCGGCUAACUCCGUGCCAGCAGCCGCGGUAAUACGGAGGAUCCGAGCGUUAUCCGGAUUUAUUGGGUUUAAAGGGUGCGCAGGCGGAAUAUUAAGUCGGCGGUGAAAGUUUGCAGCUUAACUGUAAAAUUGCCGUUGAUACUGGUAUUCUUGAGUGUAUAUGAAGUAGGCGGAAUUUGUAGUGUAGCGGUGAAAUGCAUAGAUAUUACAAGGAACUCCGAUUGCGAAGGCAGCUUACUAAAUUACAACUGACGCUUAGGCACGAAGGCGUGGGUAUCAAACAGGAUUAGAUACCCUGGUAGUCCACGCAGUAAACGAUGAUUACU
rnacentral:rRNA from 1 species